GGGACGUAGAUGUCGACUUGGAGGUUGUGCCCUUGAGGCGUGGCUUCCGGAGCUAACGCGUUAAGUCGACCGCCUGGGGAGUACGGCCGCAAGGUUAAAACUCAAAUGAAUUGACGGGGGCCCGCACAAGCGGUGGAGCAUGUGGUUUAAUUCGAUGCAACGCGAAGAACCUUACCUACUCUUGACAUCCAGAGAACUUAGCAGAGAUGCUUUGGUGCCUUCGGGAACUCUGAGACAGGUGCUGCAUGGCUGUCGUCAGCUCGUGUUGUGAAAUGUUGGGUUAAGUCCCGCAACGAGCGCAACCCUUAUCCUUUGUUGCCAGCGGUUCGGCCGGGAACUCAAAGGAGACUGCCAGUGAUAAACUGGAGGAAGGUGGGGAUGACGUCAAGUCAUCAUGGCCCUUACGAGUAGGGCUACACACGUGCUACAAUGGCGCAUACAAAGAGAAGCGACCUCGCGAGAGCAAGCGGACCUCAUAAAGUGCGUCGUAGUCCGGAUUGGAGUCUGCAACUCGACUCCAUGAAGUCGGAAUCGCUAGUAAUCGUGGAUCAGAAUGCCACGGUGAAUACGUUCCCGGGCCUUGUACACACCGCCCGUCACACCAUGGGAGUGGGUUGCAAAAGAAGUAGGUAGCUUAACCUUCGGGAGGGCGCUUACCACUUUGUGAUUCAUGACUGGGGUGAAGUCGUACAAGGGUAACCGAACCG
rnacentral:rRNA from 1 species